rnacentral:rRNA from 1 species
AGUAGGGUGCCAUCAAGAG